rnacentral:rRNA from 1 species
UACGGAGGAUCCGAGCGUUAUCCGGAUUUAUUGGGUUUAAAGGGUGCGCAGGCGGGAGAUUAAGUCGGCGGUGAAAUUUUGCAGCUCAACUGUAAAAGUGCCUUCGAAACUGGUUUCCUUGAGUGUGGAUGAAGUAGGCGGAAUUUGUGGUGUAGCGGUGAAAUGCAUAGAUAUCACGAGGAACUCCGAUUGCGCAGGCAGCUUACUAAACCAUAACUGACGCUCAGGCACGAAGGCGUGGGGAUCAAACAGGAUUAGAUACCCGGGUAGUCCCU